AGGGCUGUGGCUCAGGGGCAGAGCAUUUGCUUGGCAUGGAAAAGGCCCCAGGUUCAAUCCCCGGCAUCUCUA
rnacentral:tRNA from 1 species